rnacentral:misc_RNA from 1 species
GAUGAAGAACGUAGCGAAAUGCGAUAAGUAAUGUGAAUUGCAGAAUUCAGUGAAUCAUCGAAUCUUUGAACGCACAUUGCGCCCGCCAGUAUUCUGGCGGGCAUGCCUGUUCGAGCGUCAUUACAACCCUCAGGCCCCCGGGCCUGGCGUUGGGGAUCGGCGGAGCCCCCCGUGGGCACACGCCGUCCCCCAAAUGCAGUGGCGGUCCCGCCGCAGCUUCCAUCGCGUAGUAGCUAACACCUCGCGACUGGAGAGCGGCGAGGCCACGCCGUAAAACACCCAACUCUUCUGAAGUUGACCUCGAAUCAGGUAGGAAUACCCGCUGAACUUAAGCAUAUCAAUAAGCGGAGGA